rnacentral:rRNA from 2 species
UGCAAGUCGAACGAACUCUGGUAUUGAUUGGUGCUUGCAUCAUGAUUUACAUUUGAGUGAGUGGCGAACUGGUGAGUAACACGUGGGAAACCUGCCCAGAAGCGGGGGAUAACACCUGGAAACAGAUGCUAAUACCGCAUAACAACUUGGACCGCAUGGUCCGAGCUUGAAAGAUGGCUUCGGCUAUCACUUUUGGAUGGUCCCGCGGCGUAUUAGCUAGAUGGUGGGGUAACGGCUCACCAUGGCAAUGAUACGUAGCCGACCUGAGAGGGUAAUCGGCCACAUUGGGACUGAGACACGGCCCAAACUCCUACGGGAGGCAGCAGUAGGGAAUCUUCCACAAUGGACGAAAGUCUGAUGGAGCAACGCCGCGUGAGUGAAGAAGGGUUUCGGCUCGUAAAACUCUGUUGUUAAAGAAGAACAUAUCUGAGAGUAACUGUUCAGGUAUUGACGGUAUUUAACCAGAAAGCCACGGCUAACUACGUGCCAGCAGCCGCGGUAAUACGUAGGUGGCAAGCGUUGUCCGGAUUUAUUGGGCGUAAAGCGAGCGCAGGCGGUUUUUUAAGUCUGAUGUGAAAGCCUUCGGCUCAACCGAAGAAGUGCAUCGGAAACUGGGAAACUUGAGUGCAGAAGAGGACAGUGGAACUCCAUGUG